UUUACAUUUUUCUAAUAUGUGGAGACUUUUAUUUUGAUGUUUCUCGUGGGCGCCGCCAUUUUGUAGGUUUUGACGAGUUGCGCGGAGAGAGCGAGAGAGCGGAGAAGAACAGCGGUGAGCUGAAAUUGAAUGUUGAUCUCGGGUAGUCAAUCGCGGGAAAAAGUCCCGUUUAGACUCGCGACAUAUAUAAGAGCUGCAUGACGUUGCUUCUGAGUCUUCGUGUAUAUGAACAAGUUUAACGAAGUAAGCGUUAAAAUUAGUUUUCUGCCGUGUUCAUGCAUGAAGCUGGACAAAAGGCCUGUUAGUUUCAUUAAGUCUCAGUCACGUAGGAGUUAAACAGUCUUGUGUUUUCUUUGCUUCAAACAGUUUUUGUUUCAUUUGUUCAAACGAACUUGAAACAGUGAUUGCUGUUACAGAUCGUGUGAAUUAAGGUUCGCUGAGUCAUCGGAUAGGGUCGUGCGUUGUUUGUCUUCUCAUUGUGCCUCCAUCAGCUGGGAUUGCGGCCUCGUUGAAUCAAGCUGCCGUCGUCAGGAUCGCGAGGACAAUCGCUGAGGGUUAGUGAGUGAAGAAACAGUACCCUGCCAUCCAUUGGACAUCUUUCAGCACCUCAUUCAUGAACCAAGAGUGGUGAUAAAAAUUAUUUUCCUCUUUUCCUUCUGAAAACUGGUAAGCAAACUGCCAUUUUCUGUAAGUGAGUCAUCUGAACUGUUAAAUCAUACAGAUAUUUUGAUGGAACUGUGAUCAGUGAAUUUUCCUGCGAAGGGAUUCAUAGUCUUUCUUUUGUGUACAUAACUGAACUUUUUGGGACUGUGAACCUCAUAUAUGGAUAGAGUAUAACUUUUCACCUUUUUUUCCUGGAUUUUUGAAUUGGAUCUUGGAUUUUUGAGCCGGACUGAAGUGAACUUCAAAGUGUACUUUGUUUGAAAGGUUGAGUUAACUGUGAAACGUUUUGUUUAAGGUUACUUACAAUAAGUGACACUGAUUCUUACUUUCCUCAGAUUGAACUGUAACUGACACAAAUCUGUUGAUUUUUCAUCUCUAUUAUUUUCCACAUUUCUUUUAUUUCACUUUGAUUUGUUUACACUUGAAAUUGUUUUGUAAACUUUGUGAAAACAAGGAAAACGUAAUCAUUUAAAAUCUUGCAGUACAAAUAAAUGUAAAAUUUGUUUGUUAACUGAAAACUGUUUAUGCUAAUUUUGAGUCACUUAUACUAAGGAGUGGGGGCGUCUUACCUAUCCUGUUAGAUUCAGGGGAGGGCGGGUUUUGCAGUUAACUAGGUUUACCUCCUGAGUUUUCUACAUACACACACUUCAGGUGGCUGCCGUGUAUUGAGUAAAUCCUGAAGCCCACCUCGCUGAUUCUUGAGCAUUACACAUUGCAACACGAUAGACACUACAUACAACUAGUCUAACAGUUGUACAAAGACUAAAAGCAUUGGGUGGGGGGACUAGGAUCCUGUUGCUCACUCAGUCAUCCUUAGUAUAGUGCUGAAUAUUUCCCCCACAAGGCGGUGGCAUAUUCCCCUCCGCCACAUAUUGGCGUCACGAACAGGAUCAAUUCCUGGUUCCUGAUUCAGUGUAAGUUCAUGGUCCUAGAGCCGACACUAUGGCUGAACUGGACGAGUUAAAGAAACAGUUUGAAGAGAUGCAAAGGCGUUUCGGUGAGCAGACAUGCAUGUUAGAGCAAGCCAGAGCCGAACAGAGAGAGGCGCUUUCCCUCGCUAAAACUGUUAUUGAACAACAGGCUGCCGCUCAGAGAGCACCAUCUACUGUUUACAUCCCUAGGGAUCGUAAGCUUCCAGAGUUCACCGGAUGUCGUUCCAAGCCUGGUGAGUUGAGUAUAGAAGAAUGGAUAAGUUCAAUGAAGUCCGCCUUCAAGGUGAUGAAAAUUCCUGAAGAAGACAGAAUUGAGUUUGUUAAGCAGUAUUUAAAAGAUGAGGCUAAGAUGACAGUCAAGAUCACACUCAACGGAAAGGAGAAGUCAGUGGAUGAGAUUUUCGAUGCUUUGGAUCAGACUUAUGGGGACAAACUUCCCAUUGGCAGCAGACUGAAAGAGUUUUAUGACCGCAAACAAAUGCCUGGAGAAACAAUCCGUUCUUAUGCUUAUGACUUGCAGGAGAAGCUAAGUAUCAUCCAGAGUCGAGAGCCAUCUAGAGUUCCUGAUGCUGAUGGAGUUUUGAAGGAACAGCUUGUGUUGGGCCUGAAAGACGAUUCGCUACGGCGUGAAAUGAAGAGGAGAGUUAAAACUGAGAAGGACCUGACAUUCAUCCAGCUUAUGCAGGAAGCUAUUACUUGGUCUGAAGAAGAGGAGGUGCAGGUUCCAAGCAAUCCGAGAACGAGUACUCGUCCACGUGGUGUCGUUCAUGCUACCACUGCAACAGAGAGCUCUUCAGCCCCUCUCACCCUGGAGUCACUCCAUGAAGCCAUUCAACAGAUAGCUGCCCGACAAGAAGAACUGUUUCAGAUGGUAAACAGCAAAGAAAAAUUGAAACCUGCAGUGAAGGAAAACAAGGCAAAAAGUGCACCUUUGAAAGAUAGUGAAGGAAGGUACAUCUGUUAUACGUGUGGUAAGCCAGGACACACAAGCCGACGUUGUCUUCAGAGCAGAGAAAACUCUAGUAGAGUGCAACCUAACACAGCAGAGAUAGAAAAGACAGCUGACAGAGACACUUCAGUGCUAGAGAGUCCAGGUCCAUCCGUUAUAAGAAGUCAUACUGCAGACUGUGAUACAGAGAACGUUUCCAAGUCACUUUGUGAAAGUGCUUUUGGUGAUUGUAUAACCAUUGAGGUGAAAAUUGCGGGAAUCAGAACAAUCUGUCUCUUGGACACAGGGUCAGAAGUGACUACUAUCACCGAGUCACAUUUUAAGAAUCACUUUGGAGAAGUUGUUCUGUCGUCUGCCAACUGGGUCCGACUUACAGCAGCAAAUGGCCUAGACAUUCCCAUCAUUGGAUGUCUGGAAGCAGACAUAGAGUGUUUUGGGAAGACGUUGCAUGAAAAGUGCGUGUUUGUGAUCAAAGAGAGCGAUUCUAAUGGGACAGAAUUGAAAGGAUUGCCUGGCAUUAUUGGGAUGAAUGUGUUGAGUGAAGUUAAUGAUCUAUUCAUGACUACUAAAGACAUGAAGAAGAUGGACAGGUAUAGCCAUGGUUUUAGGGAGGCAAAAGUCCAGCGAGUUUUAGCUAACAUAAAGAUGCAGACUGAGGCACUGAGUUGUGGUGACAAGAUUGGCUUUGUGAAGGUUGCUGGGAAGCAAUCAGUAACUAUUCCACCAUUCAGUGAACGUGUUUUAGAAGGCCGCUGCAGGAUACCACCAAAAGUGAGCUGUCAAGUGUUGGUUGAGGCCUCGUCAAAUGUCAGUUUGCCUAAGAGUGUUCUGAUUGCUAAUGUGCUUGCUAAGACUGCCGAUGGUAAAGUUCCAGUCAGAGUGUUAAAUUCUAGUGAAAAGCCUGUAAAGCUCCCACCAAGAUGUAGGAUCGCAGCACUGUCCAAGCCCCAGGAAGUUGUGCCAAGGGUGCUCGUCGAGUUUGAGGAAAAAGAGAAUGCUUUGCAUGUUAAAGCUGUGCAGCAACAUAAGGUGAAGGCAGAGAUAAGCACUUCAGAACAGCUGCCAGUUCCAGUGCAAAUUAAUCUAGAGAACCUCACAGAAACACAACGUUGCAAACUCCAAAACUUACUGGCUAAGCACAGUGAUGUGUUUUCAAAGAACGAUUGUGACUUCGGUUAUACAACUGCUGUCACACAUAGUGUUCCAACAGGAGAUGCUCCUCCCAUUAAGCAAAGACAUCGCAGAAUCCCACCUCAGGUUUUUCAGGAAGUGAAAAAACAUGUUCAAGAUUUAGUAUCUCAAGGUAUUCUCAGAGAAAGCAGUAGCCCAUGGGCAUCUCCAGCUGUGAUUGUGAUCAAGAAGGAUGGCAGCGUACGCUUUUGCUGUGAUUACAGAAGGUUGAAUAAAGUGACCUGCAAAGAUGCUUAUCCUCUCCCUCGUGUGGAGGAAUCGUUGGAUGCCUUGGGAAAUGCACAGCUGUUCUCCACACUUGAUCUUACCUCCGGGUAUUUCCAAGUAGCGAUGAGUGAGGAGGAUAGAACAAAGACGGCGGUCACCACUCCCUUUGGACUGUUUGAAUGGACCAGGAUGCCAUUUGGACUUUGCAAUGCACCUGCAACAUUCCAGCGUCUGAUGGGGGUGGUGCUCGGUGAUCUAACGUUUGACAUACUGCUCAUCUACCUUGAUGACAUCAUUGUUUUUUCGAAAGACUUCGAAACCCAUUGUCAAAGACUGGAAAUAGUAUUCAAUCGAUUGAGACAGCAUGGUUUGAAACUGAAACCCAGCAAGUGUUUCCUUUUGAAACCCGAAGUGAAAUUCUUGGGUCACCUUAUUUCUUCCCAGGGAAUAAAGGUGGAUGGAGAGAAAACUCAGGUUUUGGAAUCCUGGCCUGCACCCACGAAUGUCAGAGAGUUAAGACAGAUCCUUGGAUUCAUGAGUUACUACAGGAGGUUUGUUCCUGGUUUUGCUCAAUUAGCCCGGCCCCUUCAUGCCCUGGUUGGUAAAGGAGGGAAAGAGAAAAUCAUUGAACCCCUUAACUGGACAACAGAAUGUCAAACUGCAUUUGACAAACUCAAGCAGUGUUUAAUGUCUCCGCCAGUUCUCGCGUACCCAGAUUUCAGUCAGUCUUUUGUACUCACAACUGAUGGAAGCCUGCAUGGUCUUGGAGCUGUGUUAAGUCAACGACAAGGAGGGGUGGAGCGUGUGAUUGCGUAUGCAAGUCGGGGUCUUCGUGGAUCAGAAAAGAAUGAUAGAAAUUACAGUGCUUUCAAGCUAGAGCUACUUGCCUUGAAAUGGGCUGUAACUGAAAAGUUCAAAGAAUACCUGAUCUACUCCAAGUUCUCUGUGAUAACUGAUCACAACCCUUUGCGCUACUUGGCGACCGCUAAUUUAGGAGCUGUUGAACAACGGUGGAUAGCUCAGUUGUCAGAAUUUGAUUUUGAAGUCUACUACAAACCAGGACGGCAAAACACAAAUGCCGAUGUGUUAUCACGGAUUCCAUCCAGUGAGGAGCCUGAGCAAGAGGACUCUGCUAAAGACUUCAUUAGGAUGAAUUCAGAUGAAGUGCGUGCAUGUUUAUGGCCAGUUGCCAACAAGCAUCAGAUAGUACAAGCAUCGGUUCAGGUAUCAGUGACAAGGAAAGUCCCUGGAUAUAGCUGGAGUGAUAUAGAAGAGCAACAAAAGAUCGACCCUCAUAUAGCUCCUAUAUACCGUGCUGUACUAACCAACAAGAACCUGAGUCCAGUUGAGCAACGCAAUAUGGAUGUUGAGUUAAAAAAGCUUUCUAGACAAUUCACACGACUCAAGCUUAAAAAAGGAGUGAUGUUCCGUUCCAUCUUUGAUCCCCGGGACGGAGAAGAAAUUUGUCAAUUAGUGGUUCCAGAACCCUUGCGUUACAAAGUGUACGAGAGUCAGCAUGAUCAUUGUGGCCAUUUUGGAGAAAGAAGCACGCUGGAGCGCAUGAGGCGGAGCUAUUACUGGCCGACAAUGAGUAAGGAUAUUCAAAACUGGAUUCAGGAAUGCAAGAGAUGUGCCCUUGCUAAAGACGUUUUUCCUAAAAUACGAGCCCCAAUGACAUGUACUAAUGUAUCUGCCCCGCUGGAAGUCCUUGCUAUGGAUUAUACAGUCUUGGAGGAAUCUUUGGGAGGAUAUGAAAAUGUCCUCGUCCUAACUGACAUGUUUACUCGUUUCACGGUAGCAGUGCCAACCAGAAAUCAGACCGCUCAUACCACUGCAAAAGCCCUUGUGCAGCAUUGGUUUGUCCACUACGGCUGUCCUGCACGACUACAUUCCGACCAAGGUCGAUGUUUUGAAGCAAAUGUCAUCAAAGAACUGUGUAAAGUCUAUGGAAUCGGAAAGAGUCGCACCACUCCGUAUCAUCCACAGGGUAACUCCCAGUGCGAAAGAUUUAAUAGAACCAUGCAUGAUAUGCUAAGGACGUUACCCCCGGAAAAGAAAAGGAAUUGGAAACAGUAUCUGCCCGAGUUGGCGAUGGCAUACAAUAGCCGAAUCCACACUUCAACUGGCUAUUCGCCAUUCUAUUUAAUGUUUGGGAGGGAUGCCAGAAUGCCGAUGGAUAUCCUUAAUGGGAGAGACUUGGAGGACAGUAGAGCUGACAAUCUUGAUGAUUGGGUGAAAAACCAUCAUGAUAGAUUAAAGACCGCUGUUGAAGUAGCCAACUCAGCAGCACAGGAAGCUUCAAGGCGAAGAAAAAGAGCUUAUGAUCGGAAAUCGCAUGCCGCACUUAUGAGACCUGGUGACCGUGUUCUGUUACGGAAUCAUUCACAUAGGGGAAGGAAUAAGAUACAAGACCAUUGGGAACCCUUGCCUUACACUGUAGUGAAACAGAAUCACGCAGACACUCCAGUUUACACCAUUCGCCCAGAGAAAGGGGGCCCAUGUAAAGUUGUACAUAGGGAUCAACUCAAGCCUUGCACUUUUCAGUCAUCACUACCACCUUGCACAUCUAGACGUGAAUCUAGAGCACACAUAGGUCAGGCACACACUGAUUCAGAAGAUUCUGAUGUUCUUCCAGUCCCUGUUGUUACAUUUGCACCCGCUACACUCACAGACACACAAGGUAGAAGGGCAGGUGGGGAUGAAUCAGAGAUAGGUAUCAGGGACCAUGUCGAUGAAAUGUCAGCUGAUGAUUCAGUAGAACAGUCUGUACUUGAGUCUAUGAGUUCAGGUGGCUCCGAAGCUGAAAGUGAAAAUGAAAGUAUUACUGAACCUAGACGUUCACAGCGUUUGAACAGAGGUACUUUACCCGUUAGGUAUAGGACUGACUAUGUCUUGAAAUAAGCUUAUGUCAACCUGAAGGUUUGUAUGUUUCUUUUAAUAUGAAGGUUUUUCAAUCUUGCUAAUUGAAAGUGUUUAAUUGCUGUACUUGAUGUUUUCUUGUGUGGAAAGAAUAUUUACCUGCUAUUCUCUGUCAUUUAUUUUUCAGGACUGAGUUGCUGAAUGGAAGUCCGGUGGCAUGGCAGGGUUUAGCAGGGGGGAAUGUAGGGGAUUUACAUUUUUCUAAUAUGUGGAGACUUUUAUUUUGAUGUUUCUCGUGGGCGCCGCCAUUUUGUAGGUUUUGACGAGUUGCGCGGAGAGAGCCAGAGAGCGGAGAAGAACAGCGGUGAGCUGAAAUUGAAUGUUGAUCUCGGGUAGUCAAUCGCGGGAAAAAGUCCCGUUUAGACUCGCGACAUAUAUAAGAGCUGCAUGACGUUGCUUCUGAGUCUUCGUGUAUAUGAACAAGUUUAACGAAAUCGUGUGAAUUAAGGUUCGCUGAGUCAUCGGAUAGGGUCGUGCGUUGUUUGUCUUCUCAUUGUGCCUCCAUCAGCUGGGAUUGCGGCCUCGUUGAAUCAAGCUGCCGUCGUCAGGAUCGCGAGGACAAUCGCUGAGGGUUAGUGAGUGAAGAAACAGUACCCUGCCAUCCAUUGGACAUCUUUCAGCACCUCAUUCAUGAACCAAGAGUGGUGAUAAAAAUUAUUUUCCUCUUUUCCUUCUGAAAACUGGUAAGCAAACUGCCAUUUUCUGUAAGUGAGUCAUCUGAACUGUUAAAUCAUACAGAUAUUUUGAUGGAACUGUGAUCAGUGAAUUUUCCUGCGAAGGGAUUCAUAGUCUUUCUUUUGUGUACAUAACUGAACUUUUUGGGACUGUGAACCUCAUAUAUGGAUAGAGUAUAACUUUUCACCUUUUUUUCCUGGAUUUUUGAAUUGGAUCUUGGAUUUUUGAGCCGGACUGAAGUGAACUUCAAAGUGUACUUUGUUUGAAAGGUUGAGUUAACUGUGAAACGUUUUGUUUAAGGUUACUUACAAUAAGUGACACUGAUUCUUACUUUCCUCAGAUUGAACUGUAACUGACACAAAUCUGUUGAUUUUUCAUCUCUAUUAUUUUCCACAUUUCUUUUAUUUCACUUUGAUUUGUUUACACUUGAAAUUGUUUUGUAAACUUUGUGAAAACAAGGAAAACGUAAUCAUUUAAAAUCUUGCAGUACAAAUAAAUGUAAAAUUUGUUUGUUAACUGAAAACUGUUUAUGCUAAUUUUGAGUCACUUAUACUAAGGAGUGGGGGCGUCUUACCUAUCCUGUUAGAUUCAGGGGAGGGCGGGUUUUGCAGUUAACUAGGUUUACCUCCUGAGUUUUCUACAUACACACACUUCAGGUGGCUGCCGUGUAUUGAGUAAAUCCUGAAGCCCACCUCGCUGAUUCUUGAGCAUUACACAUUGCAACACGAUAGACACUACAUACAACUAGUCUAACAGUUGUACAAAGACUAAAAGCAUUGGGUGGGGGGACUAGGAUCCUGUUGCUCACUCAGUCAUCCUUAGUAUAGUGCUGAAUAUUUCCCCCACAAGGCGGUGGCAUAUUCCCCUCCGCCACAUUAUG